AAUGAACGCUGGCGGCAGGCCUAACACAUGCAAGUCGAACGGAUCCUUCGGGAUUAGUGGCGGACGGGUGAGUAACGCGUGGGAACAUACCCUUUGGUACGGAGUAGCCUCGGGAAACUGGGAGUAAUACCGUAUGUGGUCGAGAGACGAAAGAUUUAUCGCCAAAGGAUUGGCCCGCGUUGGAUUAGGUAGUUGGUGGGGUAUGGCCUACCAAGCCGACGAUCCAUAGCUGGUUUGAGAGGAUGAUCAGCCACACUGGGACUGAGACACGGCCCAGACUCCUACGGGAGGCGGCAGUGGGGAAUCUUAGACAAUGGGGGAAACCCUGAUCUAGCCAUGCCGCGUGAUCGAUGAAGGCCUUAGGGCUGUAAAGAUCUUUCAGGUGGGAAGAUAAUGACUGUACCACCAGAAGAAGCCCCGGCUAACUCCGUGCCAGCCGCCGCGUAA
rnacentral:rRNA from 1 species